rnacentral:rRNA from 1 species
ACGACGCUGGCGGCGUGCCUAACACAUGCAAGGUCGAACGGGGUGAUGACUUCGGUUAUCACUUAGUGGCGAACGGGUGAGUAACGCGUGAGCAACCUGCCCUUGCGUGGGGGAUAACGUUGGAAACGAACGCUAAUACCGCAUAACGUACCGAGAUUGCAUGGUUUUGGUACCAAAGAUUUAUUGCGCAAGGAUGGGGCUCGCGUCUGAUUAGGUAGUUGGCGGGGUAACGGCCCACCAAGGCGACGAUCAGUAGCCGGUCUGAGAGGAUGAACGGCCACAUUGGGACUGAGAUACGGCCCAGACUCCUACGGGAGGCAGCAGUCGGGAAUAUUGCACAAUGGAGGAAACUCUGAUGCAGUGACGCCGCGUAUAGGAAGAAGGUUUUCGGAUUGUAAACUAUUGUAGACAGGGAAGAAACAAGACAGUACCUGUAAAGUAAGCCCCGGCUAACUAUGUG